AUGCUCAAGCUAAGUGAGUUGCUUGGUAAAACAGCCAUAAGCAACCUGCAUUUGAACUUCAGAUGUGAAAAGAUUUGGGUCAAACCAGAAGGCCGGAAGCAAUUGUUACCGGUGUUCCGCAAACUAAGUUUUGUGAAUUUGUUCAACAUUUCCGAAGAAUACGAUCUGAAUUGGACGAUGUUCAUACUCCAAGGCGCACCCACCCUUAAGGAACUAUGCAUUACGGUGCGGGAUCAUUUAUGUGAAAUGACAAAGGGGAAGCGGAGGUACAUGCAUGAGUUUAGCGAGGAGAAGGACAAAGGACUGGAGUGGGAACCAUCUGCCCUAGAUUUCAAUCACCACAGCCUGGCUGAGCUCUGUAUCUAUGGGUUUCGGGCACAAGACAAAUUUGUGAGGUAUGCCAGAAACAUCAUGGAGGCAGCGGUGAACCUGGUGGCUGUAAACCUGUAUAAGAAUCCAGGGUGUGAGAAAUGCAAGCGCAGGCUUCCAAGUGGGUGGACGUUGACGGAGAUGCUGUUGAUUAGAGACAAAAUCAGCAAGGGUAUGUCGUCAAAUGUUGGGGUUCGCUUCCCGAGUUGA
rnacentral:rRNA from 1 species